AAGGUUUUAGCUUAAUGAAAGCAUCUGGGUUGCGUUCAGAAGAUGUGAGAUAGAGUCUUGCAAAUCUUA
rnacentral:tRNA from 1 species